rnacentral:rRNA from 1 species
UAAGGGGUGCUGGAGCGUGCAGGAGUGAGAAUGUAGGCAUGAGUAGCGAGAACACUGUGAGAACCAGUGUCGCCGAACCUCUAAGGUUUCCGACGGAAGGCCAGUCCGCGUCGGGUUAGUCGGGCCUAAGCCGAGGCUGAGAAGCGUAGGCGAUGGACAAACGGUUAAUAUUCCGUUACCGGUUAUGGGGGUGUACAUUCGGUCGAGGAAAGCGCAGCCGUUGCAGUGGAUGACGGUACAAGUGGUUAACAACCACGAUAUCGGGCGCAAGCCAGAAGUGCGUGGCACCGAGAUCCAAGAAAAGAUGUGCACCAUCGAAGUAGCCGCCCGUACCAUAAACCGACACAGGUAGAGGGGUAGAGAAUACCAAGGCGAACGGGAGAACCCUCGUUAAGGAAUUAGGCAAAAUGGCCCCGUAACUUCGGGAGAAGGGGCGCCAGCGCAAGCUGGCCGCAGUGAAGAGGCUCUGCCGACUGUUUACCAAAAACACAGGUCUCUGCGAACGCGGAAGCGGACGUAUAGGGGCUGACGCCUGCCCAGUGCCGGAAGGUUAAGAGGAGGGGUUCACGCUCUGAAUCGAAGCCCCGGUGAACGGCGGCUGUAACUAUAACAGUCCUAAGGUAGCGAAAUUCCUUGUCGGGUAAGUUCCGACCCGCACGAAAGGCGUAACGAGUGGAGCACUGUCUCAACGAGGGACCCGGCGAAAUUGAAAUACGUGUAAAGAUGCGCGUUACCCGCAGCAGGACAAUAAGACCCUGUGGAGCUUUACUGUAGUUUGCCAUUGCGCUAGGACGUUGAUUGUGUAGGGUAGCUGGGAGCCAAGGAAGCCUGUGCGCUAGCAUGGGUGGAGGCAACGAUGAAACACCAGCCUGUGAACGUUUUGGCCCUAACCGGCGUGUAACAGCACGCGGGACAGUGGCAGAUGGGCAGUUUGACUGGGGCGGUCGCCUCCGAAAGGAUAACGGAGGCGCUCAAAGGUUGGCUCAGGCGGAAUGGAAACCCGCCACAGAGUGUAAAGGCACAAGCCAGCUUGACUGCAAGGCCAACGCGCCGAGCAGAGACGAAAGUCGGACUUAGUGAUCCUACGGCGCUGAGUGGAAAGGCCGUAGCUUACCGGAUAAAAGCUACCCCGGGGAUAACAGGCUAGUCUCCUCCAAGAGUUCAUAUCGACGAGGAGGCUCGGCACCUCGAUGUCGGCUCAUCGCAUCCUGGGGCUGGAUAAGGUCCCAAGGGUUGGGCUGUUCGCCCAUUAAAGCGGUACGUGAGCUGGGUUCAGACCGUCGUGAGACAGGUCGGUCUCUAUCCGCUGUGGGCGAUGGGAAUUUGAGAGGAGCUGCUCCUAGUACGAGAGGACCGGAGUGGACGAAGCGCCCGUGUGCCGGUUGUCACGCCAGUGGCAUAGCCGGGUAGCGAACUUCGGAUCGGAGAACCGCUGAAAGCAUCUAAGCGGGAAACCGACCUCAAGAUGAGAUUCCCCCUGAGACCGCUAGGAGACUACUAGCUGGAUAGGUCGGAUGUGGAAGGCCAGUAAUGGUUGGAGCAAACCGAUACUAAUGGUCAAUCC